rnacentral:lncRNA from 1 species
CAGAGGUCGCUCAGUCAUAGGUACCCCCUAGAGAGAAGCUGAGGAGGAGGAGGCUGGGGGAGCACUCAUCCCCUGUAGAAUGAGGAGGCUAGCAGAGCUUGUUCAUAGUGGACCUAUGACCCAUUUGCCAAGAGGCCUCUGCUAUUUGUGGACAUCUCCUCCUGCUUCCCCACCCCCAGACCCCUGAGGAUGGCUGGGAAAAGAAGAUCCAGGAACUGCUGGUGUCUGUACUAGUUACCGCCCUGAUAGGAAAGGUGGGGGGCCUAAAAAAAGGGUUGCUUAAGGAGGGUUCAUUUAGAAAGGUGGGGUACAGGAGAGUCACAGUGGGAAACCUAGUGACCCAGGACUUAGUAGCACCCCAGCCUUUACCCACCUGGCCCAUAACAACAAAGGAGGGAACAGUUUAGAUGAGAAGAGAGAUGCACACAGAGUUGGCCA